rnacentral:rRNA from 1 species
UGCCAGCAGCCGCGGGUAAUACGUAGGGAGCAAGCGUUAUCCGGAUUUAUUGGGUGUAAAGGGUGCGUAGACGGGAAAUUAAGUUAGUUGUGGAAUCCCUCGGCUCAACUGAGGAACUGCRRACUAAAACUGGUUUUCUUGAGUGCAGGAGAGGAAAGUGGAAUUCCUAGUGUAGCGGUGAAAUGCGUAGAUAUUAGGAGGAACACCAGUGGCGAAGGCCGACUUUCUUGGACUGUAACCWRACGUUGAGGCASRAAAGUGUGGGGGAGCAAACAGGAUUANGAUWCCCUGGUUAGUCCAAAGGGCGAAUUC